GGCCGUCCGAGUUGUAGUCUGGAGAAGUGCUUUCCGCGCUGGACCGUGUAUAAGUCUCUUGGAACAGAGCGUCAUAGAGGGUGAGAAUCCCGUCUUUGACACGGACUACCAGUGCUUUGUGAUGCGCUCUCAAAGAGUCGCGUUGUUUGGGAAUGCAGCGCAAAAUGGGUGGUGAAUUCCAUCUAAAGCUAAAUAUUGGCGAGAGACCGAUAGCGAACAAGUACCGUGAGGGAAAGAUGAAAAGCACUUUGGAAAGAGAGUUAAACAGUACGUGAAAUUGCUGAAAGGGAAACGCUUGAAGUCAGUCGCGUUGUCCGGAACUCAGCCUUGCCUCGGCUUGGUGCACUUUCCGGAUGACGGGCCAGCAUCGAUUUUGACCGCCGGAAAAGGGUUGGAGGAAUGUGGCACCUUCGGGUGUGUUAUAGCCUCCAGUCGCAUACGGCGGUUGGGAUCGAGGAACGCAGCGCGCCUUUAUGGCGGGGGUUCGCCCACCUUCGCGCUUAGGAUGCUGGCAUAAUGGCUUUAAACGACCCGUCUUGAAACACGGACCAAGGAGUCUAACAUGCCUGCGAGUGUUUGGGUGGAAAACCCGAGCGCGUAAUGAAAGUGAAAGUUGGGACCUCUGUCGUGGAGGGCACCGACGCCCGGACCUGACGUUCUCUGACGGAUCCGCGGUAGAGCAUGUAUGUUGGGACCCGAAAGAUGGUGAACUAUGCCUGAAUAGGGUGAAGCCAGAGGAAACUCUGGUGGAGGCUCGUAGCGAUUCUGACGUGCAAAUCGAUCGUCAAAUUUGGGUAUAGGGGCGAAAGACUAAUC
rnacentral:rRNA from 1 species